ACCUGGCUGGCUCAGUUGGUGGAGUAUGUGACUCUUGAUCUUGUGGUUGUGAGUUUGAGCCCCGUGUUAGGUU
rfam:Mustela putorius furo unplaced genomic scaffold scaffold00068, whole genome shotgun sequence.